UACGGAGGGUGCAAGCGUUAAUCGGAAUUACUGGGCGUAAAGCGUAUGUAGGCGGUUUGAUCAGUCGGAUGUGAAAUCCCCGAGCUUAACUUGGGAAUGGCAUUCGAAACUAUCAAGCUAGAGUAGGCUAGAGGAAAGGGGAAUUCCGCGUGUAGCAGUGAAAUGCGUAGAUAUGCGGAGGAACACCAAUGGCGAAGGCACCUUUCUGGGGUCAUACUGACGCUGAGAUACGAAAGCGUGGGGAGCAAACAGG
rnacentral:rRNA from 1 species